AUCCUUGCAAGUCGGGCUGUCUUAACACCUGCCGGCACGAUUUUGCAAUCGAAAAGGAAAAAAAAAAAAAAACACCAUUCUCAACAACCGUCACAAAAUGAGGACCAGCCCUCGGGUACCAGCAACGCAACCAUCCCGUGAUGGUGACCAGGCGCGUGGACUGCGUGGGCCGAGGGGCUGAGGGCAGCCGGUGGUCUUGAGGCCGGGCCCCAAGCCCGAGGAGUUGAACUAACAAAGAGCAAAUUGCCCCCGAAGCCCCCCACGCCUCCCUCCGGCGAGCCCGCCCCGCGACCCUCCCCAAGUUGAGGGCCCAGCACGCCGAUUCGCGGCGGGGCCUGCAGCCAGGCCGAGGCCGAGGCCGGGGCCGGAUUUGCGGUUGGGAUGCGGGAGACAGCUAGAGGACUCACAAAGUCUUUUAUCUGUCCCUCGGAUGACAUCUUACCACUUCCGAGCCCUGAGGAUUCUCGCCCAAGCCUUCAGCCAUGUUCUUCUCUGCAACAGGGCCCCGUACAGCAGAGCGUGCAGGACCUGUGCACUUCGCGUCCUAAAGCUAACACAUCUAAGGAGUUUAACGGUGCUGAAUGUCCUUGACAAGUAAGGGCCCAGCAUGACUUUGAGUAGAGAAACUGGCAAUAGAUAUGCCCAACUGCCUUGUUCCUGCUCCUUGGAGAGCUGCCUGAGAUGGCUGUUGGCCCUGUCCCUCACGUGUUUUGCCAAAUGUGUCUCUUGCUCUCCUUUCCCAACCGUGGAUUGUUUCCUCUUGUAGCCCAAAUCUCUCCAAAGUUAUUUCCAAUCCCUCCCACCUUCCAACAAAAGCUAGCUUUAUUUAUUGCUGACAGUACUUUAACAUACACUGUAUGUUAUCAUUUGUUGCCUGCAUUUGGAAUCCAAAUGCAAGUUUCUCCACAGCACUGUACAGCUAACAUCAAAUUGGAGCACAGCUACAGGUAUACAUGGACAAAAUAGUACAUUUAAAAAAACUAUCAUUGGACAUGACAUGAUAGUCCAGUAGCUAAA